UGGGGAAUUUUGGACAAUGGGCGCAAGCCUGAUCCAGCCAUGCCGCGUGUCUGAAGAAGGCCUUCGGGUUGUAAAGGACUUUUGUCAGGGAAGAAAAGGAUAGGGUUAAUACCCCUGUCUGAUGACGGUACCUGAAGAAUAAGCACCGGCUAACUACGUGCCAGCAGCCGCGGUAAUACGUAGGGUGCGAGCGUUAAUCGGAAUUACUGGGCGUAAAGCGGGCGCAGACGGUUACUUAAGCAGGAUGUGAAAUCCCCGGGCUCAACCUGGGAACUGCGUUCUGAACUGGGUGACUAGAGUGUGUCAGAGGGAGGUAGAAUUCCACGUGUAGCAGUGAAAUGCGUAGAGAUGUGGAGGAAUACCGAUGGCGAAGGCAGCCUCCUGGGAUAACACUGACGUUCAUGCCCGAAAGCGUGGGUAGCAAACAGGAUUAGAUACCCUGGUAGUCCACGCCCUAAACGAUGUCGAUUAGCUGUUGGGCAGCAUGACUGCUUAGUAGCGAAGCUAACGCGUGAAAUCGACCGCCUGGGGAGUACGGUCGCAAGAUUA
rnacentral:rRNA from 1 species